UACGUAGGUGGCGAGCGUUAUCCGGAAUCAUUGGGCGUAAAGAGGGAGCAGGCGGCCUGGAGGGUCUAUUGUUAAAAGGCAGUGGCUUAACCAUUGCAAGGCGAAGAAACCGGCAGGCUAGAGUUCUAAAGAGGAUCGUGGAAUUCCAUGUGUAGCGGUGAAAUGCGUAGAUAUAUGGAGGAACACCAGUGGCGAAGGCGACGAUCUGGGAAGAAACAGACGCUGAGUCCCGAAAGCGUGGGGAGCAAAUAGG
rnacentral:rRNA from 1 species